rnacentral:rRNA from 1 species
GAUGAACGCUGGCGGCGUGCCUAAUACAUGCAAGUCGAGCGAACAGAUGAGAAGCUUGCUUCUCUGAUGUUAGCGGCGGACGGGUGAGUAACACGUGGGUAACCUACCUAUAAGACUGGGAUAACUCCGGGAAACCGGGGCUAAUACCGGAUAAUAUUUUGAACCGCAUGGUUCAAUAGUGAAAGACGGUUUCGGCUGUCACUUAUAGAUGGACCCGCGCCGUAUUAGCUAGUUGGUAAGGUAACGGCUUACCAAGGCGACGAUACGUAGCCGACCUGAGAGGGUGAUCGGCCACACUGGAACUGAGACACGGUCCAGACUCCUACGGGAGGCAGCAGUAGGGAAUCUUCCGCAAUGGGCGAAAGCCUGACGGAGCAACGCCGCGUGAGUGAUGAAGGUCUUCGGAUCGUAAAACUCUGUUGUUAGGGAAGAACAAAUUUGUUAGUAACUGAACAAGUCUUGACGGUACCUAACCAGAAAGCCACGGCUAACUACGUGCCAGCAGCCGCGGUAAUACGUAGGUGGCAAGCGUUAUCCGGAAUUAUUGGGCGUAAAGCGCGCGUAGGCGGUUUCUUAAGUCUGAUGUGAAAGCCCACGGCUCAACCGUGGAGGGUCAUUGGAAACUGGGAAACUUGAGUGCAGAAGAGGAGAGUGGAAUUCCAUGUGUAGCGGUGAAAUGCGCAGAGAUAUGGAGGAACACCAGUGGCGAAGGCGGCUCUCUGGUCUGUAACUGACGCUGAUGUGCGAAAGCGUGGGGAUCAAACAGGAUUAGAUACCCUGGUAGUCCACGCCGUAAACGAUGAGUGCUAAGUGUUAGGGGGUUUCCGCCCCUUAGUGCUGCAGCUAACGCAUUCAGCACUCCGCCUGGGGAGUACGACCGCAAGGUUGAAACUCAAAGGAAUUGACGGGGACCCGCACAAGCGGUGGAGCAUGUGGUUUAAUUCGAAGCAACGCGAAGAACCUUACCAAAUCUUGACAUCCUUUGACCGCUCUAGAGAUAGAGUCUUCCCCUUCGGGGGACAAAGUGACAGGUGGUGCAUGGUUGUCGUCAGCUCGUGUCGUGAGAUGUUGGGUUAAGUCCCGCAACGAGCGCAACCCUUAAGCUUAGUUGCUAUCAUUAAGUUGGGCACUCUAGGUUGACUGCCGGUGACAAACCGGAGGAAGGUGGGGAUGACGUCAAAUCAUCAUGCCCCUUAUGAUUUGGGCUACACACGUGCUACAAUGGAUAAUACAAAGGGCAGCGAAUCCGCGAGGCCAAGCAAAUCCCAUAAAAUUAUUCUCAGUUCGGAUUGUAGUCUGCAACUCGACUACAUGAAGCUGGAAUCGCUAGUAAUCGUAGAUCAGCAUGCUACGGUGAAUACGUUCCCGGGUCU